rnacentral:tRNA from 1 species
UCCCUUGUGGCUCAGCUGGUAAAGGGUCCACCUGCAAUGUGGGAGACCUGGGUUCGAUCCCUGGUUUGGGAA